AGUCGUAACAAGGUUUCCGUAGGUGAACCUGCGGAAGGAUCAUUACCGAGUGAGGGCCCUCUGGGUCCAACCUCCCACCCGUGUUUAUUUUACCUUGUUGCUUCGGCGGGCCCGCCUUAACUGGCCGCCGGGGGGCUCACGCCCCCGGGCCCGCGCCCGCCGAAGACACCCUCGAACUCUGUCUGAAGAUUGAAGUCUGAGUGAAAAUAUAAAUUAUUUAAAACUUUCAACAACGGAUCUCUUGGUUCCGGCAUCGAUGAAGAACGCAGCGAAAUGCGAUACGUAAUGUGAAUUGCAAAUUCAGUGAAUCAUCGAGUCUUUGAACGCACAUUGCGCCCCCUGGUAUUCCGGGGGGCAUGCCUGUCCGAGCGUCAUUGCUGCCCUCAAGCCCGGCUUGUGUGUUGGGCCCCGUCCUCCGAUUUCCGGGGGACGGGCCCGAAAGGCAGCGGCGGCACCGCGUCCGGUCCUCGAGCGUAUGGGGCUUUGUCACCCGCUCUGUAGGCCCGGCCGGCGCUUGCCGAUCAACCCAAAUUUUUAUCCAGGUUGACCUCGGAUCAGGUAGGGAUACCCGCUGAACUUAAGCAUAUCAAUAA
rnacentral:misc_RNA from 1 species